UGUUGCAUCCACACCUGAGACAUCUUCCAAAAUGAUCACGGUAUCUGCUGAUAAGUUUGCCAAGUCCUCUCAGUAUCAAGAAUCUUUAAAACGUUUAUCCUUUUCAGUCACUGCUAUUGGUGACUCAGGUAACGCAACCACGUGCCUUCUCUCAUCCUCAUCCAAAUGGGUUAUAGACUCGGGUGCCACAGAUCAUAUGAUAGGAUCUUUUGACGAAGAGGGUUAUUGGUAAGGGGCGCGAGUCUGGGGGCGUCUACGUUCUUGACACCACGAGGUUGGGGUCUAUUGCUUGUUCGGGUGCUGUCACUCCAGUAGAAGCUCAUUGUCGUUUGGGGCAUCCUUCCCUUCCCUUAUUGAAGAAAUUGUGUCCGCAGUUUUCAAGUUUGUUUUCUUUACAUUGUGAGUUGUGUCAGUUGUCCAAGCACCAUCGUGUGCCUUUGAGUCCUAGAGUUUACAAACGAGCAACUGCUCCUUUUGAGUUAGUACAUUCUGAUAUUUGGGGUCUGUGUUAUGUGACCUCUAAACUUGGGUUUAAGUAUUUUGUUACGUUUGUUGAUGAUUUUUCUCGAAUGACAUGGUUAUAUCUAGUGAAGUCUCGUUCUGAACUAUUUGAUGUG